GCCGACUAGUUAUGGCCAAGGGGUCAAAGGCGUUAGCCUAAGGCGUUAGUCCGAAAGGGCGCGAGUUCGAAUCUCGCAGCUGUUAUGCA